UAUUUACACCAUGUUAAUCAGCUACAGAUCAGGGCUUCAUUUCCAGAGAGUCACAUGUAAAACAUUUACUAGCAUACCAUAACAUUUACCAGCAUCUCCCAGGCAGACAGCACCAGUCUAGGGCUUGGAAUUGACGUGGGGAGAAGUUUCAAGAGCAAGAGAGGGGAACCUGCAGAAGAGGGAGACCGUGAACACUGGAUACAAAUUUUGGCACACUCGGGUUUCCUGCAUUCCUAGCCUGCUAGUGGCAUGGAGUGCUUAGUAAGGGUUUGCCAGACAAAGGAACGAAUGAAUGCCAUGAAGAAAAGUUUACGCUGGAAAACACAGGAUGACCCCCUUCACUUCUCACAGGGCUGGGGAUGAAUGAGUUGGGGGAGUGCUCCUGGGGGCCCCCGGCAGGAGAGGCCCAGCACGGGCCCUCUUGCUCCCCUCCCACCUCAACGUUUCCUGUAUGAUUUUAGUUCCCGUAUCUGGGAGCCAGUAUUUACUUAACUCUGCCUCCAGAGUUCAGCAAUAACUAUUCUGCAAGGAAAGGCCAAGGCUGCCCAAAGUUCUGGCCGAGUAAACACACAGCCAGGCCUGGAUGCAGACAGCGGGCGCCGCAGCAGACUCCGGCAGCUGGUCUGGAAAAGCUCCUGCCUGAUGGCUCCCUGGUCACCAAACUCUCCAGAAUGGAGGUCGGAGCAGUGGCCUGGCUGGCUUGCUGGGCCAUUUGAGUGGACCGAGGCCAAGCACCCCCACCCCAUCAGCCUCCAAGGCCCAGAUCGAUUUGCAUCUCUGGACCCUGGAGGAGGCAGUUCUGCUUCUGUGCUGUUAGAGCAGUUCAUCCUGCACUCUCUGCUCCCCAUCCAGCAAACAUGCUGAGCCCCAGCUGUGCCCUGGCAUCAUUGCAGGCGAUGGAGAUCCGGAGUGCCAGACGAUCCACUCAAAGAGCUUAUACUCAGUGGCGAGAGGAAGUCAAUGAAAAGUGCCAUGGGCUAAACCAUCUGUGUGCUUCUGACACUCACAUGUUGAAACCCUAAGCCCCACUGUGAUGUCCAUUUGGCAGGGGGCCUUUGAAAGGUAGUUAGGCUUCAGGUAGGCUGUAGGGUGGGGCCCCCAAGAUGAGAUAGUGGCCUUAUAAGAAGAGGAGGAGACAGGAGAUCUCUACGUUUGUGUGAAUACCAAGGAAGCCCAUGUGAGGACAGAAGGCAAACCAGGAAGACAGUCCUCCCCCAGAUCUCACUCUGCCGGCACCUGAAACAAAUGUAAGUUGGUAACAAAUGCCAGGAAGCAAGUGCAGUAGGGUAAGGCAGGCAGCAAGUGAUAGGGAGAGUGAUAUUUAUGGAGGGUAGUGAGGAGGUCCUCUCCGAGAAGGUGAUGUGAGAGCAGAGGGCUGGAUGACGGAAAAGCCAUGGGCUUUCCAGGGGAAAAUAUUCAAGGCAAAGAGAGCUGCACACCAAUUCCCUGAGGUGGAAACAUGCCAGUGGUGCUCAUGGCAGCCCCAUGUGAAGUGAACGAGGGGCAAGACUCGGGGGCCGCAUUACCUGGGGUUUUGUGGGCCAAUUAAAGGAAUGUGAGGACUACUCUGGAAUCAUUGGAAACUUCUGAGCAGAGAAGUGACACAAACUGAUUUAUGUUCUAAGAAGGUCCUUCUGGGUGCUCUGUUGAGAACAGACUAUAUGGGUAAGAGGGUGAGAGGGUAAAAAAGCGUAGAAACCUGCUAGGGAGCUCACGGUGGUAGCUUAGACCAGGAUAGUAGGAGUGCAAGUGUGGAUUCUGGUUAUUUUAUCUUUUUUUUCUUUCUUUCUUUUUUUUAAGAGAGUGAGAGCAAGCAGGGAAGGGGCAGAGAGAGAGAGAGAACAGAAGAUCCUCAGGCUUUGUGCUGACAGCAGAGAGCCCGAUGUGGGGCUCAAACUCACGAACCAUGAGGUCAUGACCUGAGCUGAAGUGAGAUGCUUAACUGACUGAGCCACUCAGGCUCCCAGUGAUUCUGGUUAUAUUUUGAAAAUAGGUCUGACAAGAUGUGCUGAUGAAUUCCUUGCAGGGUAUGAGAGAAAGAGAAGGGUUGAGGGUCACCCUGACGUUCAUGACCUAAGUGGCUCAAGUCGGCAUUAUAUCAUGCCCUGAAGGCAGGAACUGUGUGUUAUUCUUCCUUGCUGGAUCCUCGGGGAUAUAGAGUGGGUAUGAUGCAUGGCCCAUGAUAAGGGAGAGAGGAAGGGAGCCAGGAAGAGAGGGAGACAUGAGGGAACGGGUAGGUGGAGGAAGAAUAUUUAUGCCAUUGAUAUCCCUAAAGUCUUGCCUGGUGAUCAACUCUUCCCAGGAUGACCUGAAGAUGUCUGGCAGUUUAUCUAUUUUGAGAGAGUGGAGGAGGGGCAGAGAGAGAAGGAGAGAGAAUUUCAAGCAGGCUCCAGGCUGUCAGCUCAAAGCCUGACACAGGGCUUGAACUCACAAACCAUUAGAUCGUGACCUGAGCCAAGAUCAAGAGUUGAACUUGAACCUACUGAGCCACCCAGGCACCCUUCCAGGGAAUUCUUAUAUCCACCUGCCCUUCCCAGCCCAACACCCAUCCUUAAACAAAAGCAAUGCACUGGCAACUAGCCUGUUGAGAACUGGUUUACCAUUUUGACUUCACCAUCAGGUUCACCUUCACACAGUUAGGCUAUGGAUCUAACUGCUGUAACAGGCAAUCCAAAUAACUGUGAUAUAAACAAGAUAGAAAGCAUUUCUCCCUCGUGCACUGCUCUGUACAUAGUAGUCCAGGCUGCUACAACUCCUCAUGGUGGAGACCCGGCACCGUCUAUGUUUGCUCUGCCAUCCCCGGGGUGGGGGUGGGAGACAGGCCAUAUCUCAUGGCCUCAGACAGUUGGUCACCACAUCCGGGCUCUGGACAGUCAGGAAGAGGAAGGAAAGAGCUGGGUGGGGGAGGGCUGUAGCAGCUAGAGUCCUGCCCUUUAAGGACAUGCCCAGAAGCUGCACCCACCACUUCUGUGCACAUCCAUUGGCCAGAACUUGGCUGUGGGGCCAAAGGGAUCUGGGAAAGAUCCUUUAUUCUGGGAAGUCAUGUUUCCAACCCAAAUCUAAUGACUAUGGAAGAAGGGAAGGAGAAUGUGGGGACAAGUCACAGUUCUGAUGCAUGGGUAUCCAAAGCAGUUCCAUCUGACCUACACGUCGAGCCCCUGCUCCCUGCGUGAGCCUCCUGGGAUAGAGCCCAGCUCAAUUCUUUUCAUCUGAUGCACAGAAUUUUUCAACAUUUGGAGUGUGGUCACCUGUAAAACUGUACUCAAUCUUUACCACACCCUGUGAGGUGGGUUGUUUUAUCUGACUUUACCCCAAAGAGAACCGGACUUAGAAGGGCAGAAAUACUUGCACCAGGUCACGGGCUGAUGAACACCCCAGAUUUGAGCUCAGACCUUCUCUCCAGAUUCCUGGUCCUCCCUCUUCACUAACAGGGCACUUAAUGGAUAAUUACUGUGAUGUGCAGGAGAGGUGAGCCCUACCACUAAUACCCCCACCACUAGAAUUUUCCAGGAAGGGCACCUGCUAAAGAUUCAUGUGACAUGAUAGAACACAGACAAUGGUACCAUUCUUAUUGAAGAGGAAAAAUCCACCUACCUCCGCACAUCCGUGCAUGUGACACAGAGGCAGAGGAGGCAGAACUGAGCAGGCAGGACAUCCCCAGUGCAGACAGCCUCCUUGUCUACAGCAGCAUCUGGGAUUUUUGGCCAGUGGCUUGUGUUACACAGUUGUUGAAUACUUUUCAUAUCAUUCCUCGUGAAAUCUGUUCUUGGUCUGUCCCGAAGUGUCUGUCAUCUUGGAGAGCCUUCUCAGCUUCAAGUGACUCUUCUGUGAAAGAGAAAGAGCCUAUCGUACCCCUCCCAGCCACCCCCAUUCAGUGAGGAGCCAACUCUGAAGACAUUGGUACAACCAGGAGAGGUGACAGCCAAGUUUCUCCCUGGGCUUCUCUGGGACACCACCUAAGCCCAUGGGAUCUUCUGCCCCAGCAUGUUCCCUCCCAUGCCCAAAGCCUGUCCACCCCCAUUUCUACUCCUGUAACUUCAGCUCCUCACCCACCAGCCUGCAGGUCCAGCCCACUCCUGCAAACUUGGAAGAACUGGCAGAAAUCAAAGGCCUUAGAAUAUCCGAGCAGAAAGGCCUUCAGAGCCCAUCUAAUCCAGGGGCCACAGUGGCCCUGAGUGGCAGAACCUUGAUGAGCACACAUGAUGUGUGGGACACUGCCAAAGGCUCUCUGCACAUUGCUUUACUUCACUCCGAAGCCACAGCCUGGCUUUGAUGCCAGCUCAGUUACCUAGAGCUGUAUGGUGUCUAAUAAACUAGGCAACCUCUCUGUGCC